CAUAAAAAAUAAAAUUUUGAAGACUCCACCAUUGGAGGCUCUCGGCCAACCUCCCCAAAAAUUCAAGUCCCUUUUCAAGCUCUCCCAAAAUUAAUUCCUUGGUGUAAACCCACUAUAUUGAGGUCCCUAAGUAGCGUGGAGGUGUCGUUGGGGCGAUCAACACAUUAUUUUUCAUCUUUUGGAAACCCUAGCCCAUUGUGGAAAUUGAAGAGAAAAGAUCGUGGGCAGCCCGAGACGUAGGUUGGACUUAUCUUGCGUUUGGAUUAUUAUUGGAGAGCGUUUGAGGUACAGACGCACAGCCCGGUGAUCCACCUGUUUUGGACACCCCCUUCUGCUAUUCGGAGUGCUCCUCUCAUUCCGGAGCUUAUAUUUUUGGUAUAUAUAUUUGUUAGUGCAUUUAUGUAUAUUCGUUCAUGGGUACGGCGGGGCCCUGUCCCGUCAUAUGAUUCUGUCGGUCUGUUUAGAGGUCUGUGGACAUGUUUGUGGGUUAGGGUCUUUCUGUACGGAUGCGUGUAUAUGUUGUGUUUGGGCGAUCCCAUUCGCCGCGGCGGCCGGUCCGCAUAUGUUUACAUGUUGCUUUGUUGGCCCUGUGUGGCCUUUGUUGGUAUUAUCUGUACGCAGGGUUAAUUUGGAUAGUCUGUAAAACCAAGGAAACUCUGCCGAAAUUUUUCUGGAAAUUAUCUAAAUUUGAAAUAUAGCCUUGUCGGCUUCUGCUAUAUACUUGAAUGUGUUGGAUAAAAUUUGAGAUAGCAUUUGAUAGAUGUGUUUGGGUGCCCA